GAGGUUCUGUCCAUCUGGUCCAGGAAAUGCUGACUCUGCUAGAUGUGCUGUUGGGUGGGCUCUCAUGGGAGAGGCUUGAGCAGGACUUCCCUUGGCAAUAAGCUGCCCCACCCAGGCCUUUCCAUGAUCCAGACUCCUGGGACCAGGGUGCAAAUCCCCAGCUCCCCACUUGUCAACAAUGUGACCUGGGCAACUUUCUCAAACCCAAGCUUUGUCCACCCAAGGUCAUCAGAGAUGGGGGAUAACAGGAUGUCCUGCACAGAGUGUCUGUGCAGAUUAAGUGAGGUAGAACAGACAGAACAGUGGUGGGGCCUGGCCCAUUGGUUGGCAGAAGGGAGCUCACCAUGUGCAGCAAUUUCCGCGGGUCACCCAGCAAUCUGCCCAGAGGCUUAGCUACUCCAUCACUAUCAUGUAUCUGAAGUCCGCUUAACCACAUGGGAGAAAAACAAACACAUAUUCUGAGUGUAGCUGCCACAGGAAAAAGUGCAUCUGAGCGGGGAGUAAUACCAGAGGGUGAUCAGGAUGGUGGAAGAUGCCCCCUUGGGUUGAGCAGAGUGGAGCUGCCCUCUGGAGCCUGGGGUUAGUGAGGAUGGGCUUGUAGAAAUGCCCCUCUCCUUUACCCAUCAAUGCUGGGUCCUGCGGGUACUGAGUCCCACAAUCGGUGUGCUGCUAGUACCCUCAGCACAGAGAAAAACCCAGGGGUUCCCACAAGGCUUCGGACACGUCCUCUGCUUCCUGAACUCCCAUUCUGGUGACCGCACCUGGGAUGCAGAGAUGAGGUGAGGCAGGGGCUUGUGCUGUCAACACCACUGCUCUACCCUGGGAAUCUGACACACAGUAGGUGCUCGGUAAGUCAUUGUUGAAUGAACAGCAAUACUGGGCCAAGUUUCUGUGGGUGUCUGUGCCCCCAGAUCAGGGACCCCUCAGGGCCCACCUCACAAGUGACAUGAAAAUAAUAAUGCCACCAGGAGCAAUAAGAGUUGCUCAGAAUAAGUGGGCUUUUCCAAGCACUCUCCACCUGUUGCAAAGGCCUCCCAGCAGGGAAGGGGGCUGUCAGGGGCAACACUGCACUCUCCACUGUAACAAGGAGAAAGCCAAGGGCCACAGAGAGGAGUGCCUUUCCAGUGUCACUGCUCACUUUCCCACCUUUUGGGAGACUGGGAGGCUUUUCUACUACAUUCUGGCUCUGAAGCCCCAAUAUUGUUUGGACAUGUCUCCCUCCCUGGAGCAGGGAACCACUAAGUGACCUGUCACUUGUCACCAAGCAGACAGGCUCAUUUCAGCUCAUUGUGCCACCUGCAGUUUGUGCUAGUAGCAGGAUCCUCUGGGAGACUUCACACUCUCCCAACCUGAAAACAGGUGAACAGCUCACAGGUUUCCUGGAGAGGAUGGUCACAUGGCCUUGAUCUGGCCAAUCAGCAUUUUCCAUCCUCCCUGGCCACUGUGAUUGGCUCAGGGCUGGGCACCAGCCCAAUCAGGCUCCACGGAGGUCAGGCCUAGUUGCUGGAAUCCUGGGAGCAGAGAAGUUCUAUUUCAGUUGGGAGUUGAGGGGUGGUGAUGUCAGCCUGUGGCAGUUGGUGACUAUCUUGCUCUCGUAAAGGCAGAGCCAUGUGAAGAUGACACCAGUGGCAGAGCCCAGAGGUGGGGAAAGAUGACUUCUGCUGAUGUCACUGAGCACCAGGUACAGCCCUGCCUGAAGCUAUCUCCCUGUGGAUGUCUCAGUUAGGCUGUCUGCUGCAUGAGAAUGGAGACCUGCCUGCUUCACUCCCUGCUGUGCCCGGUAUAUGGAACCCGCCCAACACACAGUAGGACCUCAGUGAAUGUGUGACGUGUGUGUGAUCACUGUAGGCCACAGACAAAGGUCUUCCCAGCAGUGAUGAAACCCUGUGACAGAUCCUGUCCACAGCACCCUGCUCCUCCGAUCCUUACCCCAGGCUUUCCCAUGGGGUGUGACCCCGCAUGGGGUGCAGUCCCCUCCUCCAGUCUGACGUCAGUAAUCUUGGACCCGUUCUUGGAGCAGAGAAUUGAGUACCUUCCUAAAGUGCACGUUGACACUCCAUAUGUUUCUGCCAGUAUCAGCGAGGUUCAAUAUGUCUCAUGAAUGUCUUUUGAGCCUGGUAUUCUCAACAGAAGUCUCCAUGCCAGUAUUCUCCAUUGUAGCAGAACAACUCUCAUCAAUGUGUUCGCAUCUCACCUCAAUUUGUGCAGCCAGCUUUUCUGCCAACUUCCUUCAUGUCUCCUAUAAAGUCAAAUUCUAAAGGACAGGGCAAGUCUGAAAGUACCUCGGAGCCUCACCUGUAAGCUGAUGACAGGCAGAUCUUCCACUAUCUGCCCUUUCAGAUUCUGGAAACUGACCUGUGAACUCAGGCCAUUGCGCAGCACGAGUAUCUCGAACUUACACAGAUUCCAGAAAAAGAGACUUAAGCCAAGCUCCAUAGAGGGCGGUACCGCCUCCAUGACACUGAUCCACCCACAGAA